AACACAUGCAAGUCGCACGAGAACGUUCUGGCUUUGCCAGGACAAGUACAGUGGCGGACGGGUGCGUAUCGCGUAGAUAACCUGCCCUUAGGCGCGGGACAAUCACGGGAAACCGUGGCUAAUACCGCACGUCGUCUGGGCCCCGCAUGGGGACCAGAUGAAAGCUUGGGGUUACCCAGGCGCCUUGGGAUGGGUCUGCGUUGGAUUAGCUUGUUGGUGAGGCAACGGCUCACCAAGGCGACGAUCCAUAGCUGGUCUGAGAGGACGAUCAGCCACACUGUGACUGAGACACGGCCCAGACUCCUACGGGAGGCAGCAGUGGGGAAUCUUGCACAAUGGGGUCACCCCUGAUGCAGCCAUGCCGCGUGGAGGAAGACACCCCUAUGGGGCGUAAACUCCUUUUCUGAAUGAAGAAACCCCUGUAGGUUCAGGGCGCGACGGUAGUUCAGGAAUAAGCACCGGCUAACUCCGUGCCAGCAGCCGCGGUAAUACGGAGGGUGCAAGCGUUGUCCGGAAUCACUGGGUGUAAAGGGUGUGCAGGCGGGGCAACAAGUCGGAUGUGAAACCCCAUGGCUCAACCAUGGAGGUGCAUUCGAAACUGUUGCUCUUGAGUCCCGGAGAGGCUGUCGGAAUUCGUGGUGUAGCGGUGAAAUGCGUAGAUAUCACGAGGAACACCAGAGGCGAAAGCGGGCAGCUGGACGGGUACUGACGCUCAGGCACGAAAGCGUGGGGAGCAAACAGGAUUAGAUACCCUGGUAGUCCACGCCGUAAACGAUGAACGCUCGCCGUUGCCCCGGUUAAGGGGCAGUGGCUAAGCUAACGCGUUAAGCGUUCCACCUGGGGAGUAUGGUCACAAGGC
rnacentral:rRNA from 1 species